AGUGAACGCUGCGGUAGGCCUAACACAUGCAAGUCGAACGGCAGCACAGUAAGAGCUUGCUCUUACGGGUGGCGAGUGGCGGACGGGUGAGGAAUACAUCGGAAUCUACUUUUUCGUGGGGGAUAACGUAGGGAAACUUACGCUAAUACCGCAUACGACCUACGGGUGAAAGCAGGGGAUCUUCGGACCUUGCGCGAUUGAAUGAUCCGAUGUCGGAUUAGCUAGUUGGCGGGGUAAAGGCCCACCAAGGCGACGAUCCGUAGCUGGUCUGAGAGGAUGAUCAGCCACACUGGAACUGAGACACGGUCCAGACUCCUACGGGAGGCAGCAGUGGGGAAUAUUGGACAAUGGGCGCAAGCCUGAUCCAGCCAUACCGCGUGGGUGAAGAAGGCCUUCGGGUUGUAAAGCCCUUUUGUUGGGAAAGAAAAGCAGCAGGUUAAUACCCCGCUGUUCUGACGGUACCCAAAGAAUAAGCACCGGCUAACUUCGUG
rnacentral:rRNA from 1 species